CCUACGGGUGGCAGCAGUGGGGAAUAUUGGGCAAUGGGCGCAAGCCUGACCCAGCAACGCCGCGUGAAGGAAGAAGGCUUUCGGGUUGUAAACUUCUUUUAAGAGGGAAGAGCAGAAGACGGUACCUCUUGAAUAAGCCACGGCUAACUACGUGCCAGCAGCCGCGGUAAUACGUAGGGGGCGAGCGUUGUCCGGAAUGACUGGGCGUAAAGGGUGCGUAGGCGGCAUAAUAAGUUAGAAGUGAAAUACCCAGAGCUUAACUCGGGUGCUGCUUCUAAGACUGUUGAGCUUGAGUGCGGGAGAGGUUAAUGGAAUUCCUAGUGUAGCGGUGGAAUGCGUAGAUAUUAGGAGGAACACCAGAGGCGAAGGCGAUUAACUGGACCGUAACUGACGCUGAGGCACGAAAGUGUGGGUAGCAAACAGGAUUAGAUACCCUAGUAGUC
rnacentral:rRNA from 1 species